UGCCAGCAGCCGCGGUAAUACGGAAGGUGCAAGCGUUGUUCGGAAUUACUGGGCGUAAAGCGCACGUAGGCGGGUUCGUGUGUCGAUUGUGAAAGCCCCGGGCUCAACCCGGGAAUUGCAGUCGAAACUGCGAAUCUUGAGUGCCUGAGAGGGUGGUGGAAUUCCUGGUGUAGAAGUGAAAUUCGUAGAUAUCAGGAGGAACACCGGAGGCGAAGGCGGCCACCUGGUGGUGCACUGACGCUGAGGUGCGAAAGCGUGGGGAGCAAACAGGAUUAGAUA
rnacentral:rRNA from 1 species